rnacentral:rRNA from 1 species
GAUGAACGCUAGCUACAGGCUUAACACAUGCAAGUCGAGGGGCAGCAUGAACUUAGCUUGCUAAGUUUGAUGGCGACCGGCGCACGGGUGAGUAACACGUAUCCAACCUGCCGAUGACUCGGGGAUAGCCUUUCGAAAGAAAGAUUAAUACCCGAUGGCAUAGUUCUUCCGCAUGGUAGAACUAUUAAAGAAUUUCGGUCAUCGAUGGGGAUGCGUUCCAUUAGGUUGUUGGCGGGGUAACGGCUCACCAAGCCUACGAUGGAUAGGGGUUCUGAGAGGAAGGUCCCCCCACAUUGGAACUGAGACACGGUCCAAACUCCUACGGGAGGCAGCAGUGAGGAAUAUUGGUCAAUGGACGAGAGUCUGAACCAGCCAAGUAGCGUGAAGGAUGAAGGUCCUACGGAUUGUAAACUUCUUUAUAAGGGAAUAAACCUCCACGUGUGGGAGCUUGUAUGUACCUUAUGAAUAAGCAUCGGCUAACUCCGUGCCAGCAGCCGC